AGUUUUAGACGCGUUCUCAAAGUGGUUAGAGGUGAAAGAGAUGAGAAGUAUUACGGCGAGCAAUACUAUUAUCGAAUUACGCGAGAUAUUUAGUAGAUGGGGGUUACCUUUAACAUUAGUGUCGGAUAACGGCGCUCAAUUAACGUCACACGAAUUUACUACGUUUUUAAAAAGUAAUGGCAUAGUACAUUUGCGUACAGCCCCGGGACACCUUGCUACAAACGGUGCGGCUGAAAAUGCAGUGAAA